GGCCGCGUGGCGGAGUGGCUACGCAGGGGACUGCAAAUCCUCGUACCCCGGUUCAAUUCCGGGCGCGGCCU
rnacentral:tRNA from 1 species